UCAAUGUCAAAUUGGACGAAAGUUUAUAAAUAUAUAAAAAUUUAUGGAUACAAUGAAUUCAGUAUCUUUAGAGACAGACAUUCAGAGCCGUCGUGUGUGUAUUGUAUGCAACUUCUCCUGGUGCAAACUUCUCCGGGACUCAAUGGCUUACCCGCGCCUUCCUUGCCAGCUAUCACGUACUCUAGCAGAAAGUAAAUUUGUUGUAUGAAACUCUAAAAAUUUAAGCA